rnacentral:rRNA from 1 species
GACGAACGCUGGCGGCGUGCCUAACACAUGCAAGUCGAGCGAAUGAAGUUCCUUCGGGACUGGAUUUAGCGGCGGACGGGUGAGUAACACGUGGGCAACCUGCCUCAUAGAGGGGAAUAGCCUCCCGAAAGGGAGAUUAAUACCGCAUAAGAUUGUAGUACCGCAUGAUACAGCAAUUAAAGGAGCAAUCCGCUAUGAGAUGGGCCCGCGGCGCAUUAGCUAGUUGGUGAGGUAAUGGCUCACCAAGGCGACGAUGCGUAGCCGACCUGAGAGGGUGAUCGGCCACAUUGGGACUGAGACACGGCCCAGACUCCUACGGGAGGCAGCAGUGGGGAAUAUUGCACAAUGGGGGAAACCCUGAUGCAGCAACGCCGCGUGAGUGAUGACGGCCUUCGGGUUGUAAAGCUCUGUCUUCAGGGACGAUAAUGACGGUACCUGAGGAGGAAGCCACGGCUAACUACAUG